rnacentral:rRNA from 1 species
UGCUGUCCAGAUGAAUAAACUGCAUCUGAAAGGGCCGGGCAGGACCGAUGCCUGCCGCCCCGCUAAUACCGGCCGGUCGAGUGGUGGCCGCUCUUAAUGGGCUUAAAGGGUCCGUACCUAGCUGGUUGGGUCCCUUGUCAAAUCAGUCUGCUUACCUGACUGGCGUGCUUGGGAAACUUGCUGUCUGGGUACCGGCAGAGGUGAGGGGUACUUCCGGGGUAGGAAUGAAAUCAUUCUUUCCCUGCGGGACCACCUACCUGUAAGGAAUGCCUCCUAACCGAACCGGACCGAGAGGGACGAACGCUGGGGGAGCAAACCAAAUUAAAUACCCGGCCAGUCCCACCCGUCCACUAUCUAUGUUCGGUGUGUGUCUGACCUGGUGUGACUGAGGUGCCUACCG